ACGGAUUCACUACGGAUUAUUAAAAAAAUGAAAUAUAAUAUCUUUAUGGCUACGGCUUUACGACGGUUAUUUAAAAAAAUUACAGAAAUGAAAAAGUAAAGUAACGACGGUAUAUUCCGUCAUUAAACCGUUGUUAAAUUUAACGACUGAAUAUCCCGUCAUAGAUGAACAGUACGACCAAGCAUAUCGCGACCCUUGUCUUUCCGUCGUGAAUUUUGGAAUUUCCGUAGUUAAUCGUU
rnacentral:lncRNA from 1 species